GAUGAACGCUGGCGGCGUGCCUAAUACAUGCAAGUCGAGCGAACGGACGAGAAGCUUGCUUCGCUGAUGUUAGCGGCGGACGGGUGAGUAACACGUGGAUAACCUACCUAUAAGACUGGGAUAACUUCGGGAAACCGGAGCUAAUACCGGAUAAUAUUUUGAACCGCAUGGUUCAAAAGUGAAAGACGGUCUUGCUGUCACUAAUAGAUGGAUCCGCGCUGCAUUAGCUAGUUGGUAAGGUAACGGCUUACCAAGGCAACGAUGCAUAGCCGACCUGAGAGGGUGAUCGGCCACACUGGAACUGAGACACGGUCCAGACUCCUACGGGAGGCAGCAGUAGGGAAUCUUCCGCAAUGGGCGAAAGCCUGACGGAGCAACGCCGCGUGAGUGAUGAAGGUCUUCGGAUCGUAAAACUCUGUUAUUAGGGAAGAACAUAUGUGUAAGUAACUGUGCACAUCUUGACGGUACCUAAUCAGAAAGCCACGGCUAACUACGUG
rnacentral:rRNA from 1 species